rnacentral:rRNA from 1 species
CACAUGCAAGUCGAGGGGCAGCAUGCUUUGUAGCAAUACAGAUUGAUGGCGACCGGCGCACGGGUGAGUAACGCGUAUGCAACUUACCUAUCAGAGGGGGAUAGCCCGGCGAAAGUCGGAUUAAUACCCCAUAAAGCAGGGGUCCCGCAUGGGAAUAUUUGUUAAAGAUUCAUCGCUGAUAGAUAGGCAUGCGUUCCAUUAGGCAGUUGGCGGGGUAACGGCCCACCAAACCGACGAUGGAUAGGGGUUCUGAGAGGAAGGUCCCCCACAUUGGUACUGAGACACGGACCAAACUCCUACGGGAGGCAGCAGUGAGGAAUAUUGGUCAAUGGCCGAGAGGCUGAACCAGCCAAGUCGCGUGAAGGAAGAAGGAUCUAUGGUUUGUAAACUUCUUUUAUAGGGGAAUAAAGUGGAGGACGUGUCCUUUUUUGUAUGUACCCUAUGAAUAAGCAUCGGCUAACUCCGUGCCAGCAGCCGCGGUAAUACGGAGGAUGCGAGCGUUAUCCGGAUUUAUUGGGUUUAAAGGGUGCGUAGGUGGUGAUUUAAGUCAGCGGUGAAAGUUUGUGGCUCAACCAUAAAAUUGCCGUUGAAACUGGGUUACUUGAGUGUGUUUGAGGUAGGCGGAAUGCGUGGUGUAGCGGUGAAAUGCAUAGAUAUCACGCAGAACUCCGAUUGCGAAGGCAGCUUACUAAACCAUAACUGACACUGAAGCACGAAAGCGUGGGGAUCAAACAGGAUUAGAUACCCUGGUAGUCCACGCAGUAAACGAUGAUUACUAGGAGUUUGCGAUACAAUGUAAGCUCUACAGCGAAAGCGUUAAGUAAUCCACCUGGGGAGUACGCCGGCAACGGUGAAACUCAAAGGAAUUGACGGGGGCCCGCACAAGCGGAGGAACAUGUGGUUUAAUUCGAUGAUACGCGAGGAACCUUACCCGGGUUUGAACGUAGUCUGACCGGAGUGGAAACACUCUUUCUAGCAAUAGCAGAUUACGAGGUGCUGCAUGGUUGUCGUCAGCUCGUGCCGUGAGGUGUCGGCUUAAGUGCCAUAACGAGCGCAACCCUUAUCACUAGUUACUAACAGGUGAAGCUGAGGACUCUGGUGAGACUGCCAGCGUAAGCUGUGAGGAAGGUGGGGAUGACGUCAAAUCAGCACGGCCCUUACAUCCGGGGCGACACACGUGUUACAAUGGCGUGGACAAAGGGCAGCUACCUGGUGACAGGAUGCUAAUCUCCAAACCAUGUCUCAGUUCGGAUCGGAGUCUGCAACUCGACUCCGUGAAGCUGGAUUCGCUAGUAAUCGCGCAUCAGCCAUGGCGCGGUGAAUACGUUCCCGGGCCUUGUACACACCGCCCGUCAAGCCAUGGGAGCCGGGGGUACCUGAAGUCCGUAACCGCAAGGAUCGGCCUAGGGUAAAACUGGUGACUGGGGCUAAGUAA